rnacentral:rRNA from 1 species
AUUGAACGCUGGCGGCAGGCUUAACACAUGCAAGUCGAGCGGGGGAAGGUAGCUUGCUACCGGACCUAGCGGCGGACGGGUGAGUAAUGCCUAGGAAUCUGCCUAUUAGUGGGGGACAACAUCUCGAAAGGGAUGCUAAUACAGCAUACGUCCUACGGGAGAAAGCAGGGGAUCUGCGGACCUUACGCUAAUAGAUGAGCCUAAGUCGGAUUAGCUCGUUGGUGGGGUAAAGGCCUACCAAGGCGAGGAUCUGUAGCGGGUCUGAGAGGAUGAUCCGCCACACUGGGACUGAGACACGGCCCAGACUCCUACGGGAGGCAGCAGUGGGGAAUAUUGGACAAUGGGGGGAACCCUGAUCCAGCCAUGCCGCGUGUGUGAAGAAGGCCUUAUGGUUGUAAAGCACUUUAAGCGAGGAGGAGGCUACUCUAGUUAAUACCUAGGGAUAGUGGACGUUACUCGCAGAAUAAGCACCGGCUAACUCUGUGCCAGCCGCCGCGGUAA